AUUGAACGCUAGCGGGAUGCUUUACACAUGCAAGUCGAACGAGUGGCGGACGGGUGAGUAAUAUAUCGGAACGUGCCCAGUAGAGGGGGAUAACUACUCGAAAGAGUGGCUAAUACCGCAGAAUCUUGGAGCGGCAGAUAUCGGCUUAGAUCGCUGGUGGGGUAAAGGCACACCAAGGAAACGAUCCGUAGCGGUUUUGAGAGGACGCACAGCCACACUGGGACUUAGACACGGCCCAGACUCCUACGGGAGGCAGCAGUGGGGAAGUUUGGACAAUGGGGGAAACCCUGAUCCAGCCAUCCCGCGUGUAUGAGAAGGCCUUCGGGUUGUAAAGUACUUUUGGCAGAGAAGCGGUAUCUGCAGAAUAAGCACCGGCUAACUACGUGCCAGCAGCCGCGGUAAUAC
rnacentral:rRNA from 1 species